UUCGCCCUUCGGCCGCUGCAGAGUUUGAUCCUGGCUCAGGACGAACGCUGGCGGCGUGCCUAAGACAUGCAAGUCGAGCGGGGUAUACGGUACGGCUUGCCGUAGCGGAUACCUAGCGGCGAACGGGUGAGUAACACGUGGGCAACCUACCCGCGAGGCCGGGAUAACAGUGGGAAACUGCUGCUAAUACCGGAUAUUCUUCAGCUGUUGCAUGGCAGGUGAAGGAAAGGUGGCCUCUGCAUAGCAAGCUACCGUUCGCCGAUGGGCCCGCGUCCCAUUAGCUAGUUGGUGAGGUAACGGCCCACCAAGGCGACGAUGGGUAGCCGGCCUGAGAGGGUGGUCGGCCACACUGGAACUGAGACACGGUCCAGACUCCUACGGGAGGCAGCAGUCGGGAAUCUUGGGCAAUGGGGGAAACCCUGACCCAGCGACGCCGCGUGGAGGAUGAAGGCCUUCGGGUUGUAAACCC
rnacentral:rRNA from 1 species